UGUUCCCAUGCCGAACACAGUAGUUAAGCUCUUCUUCGCCGAAAAUACUUGGAUGGUAACGUCCCGGUAAGAUAGGGUGCUGCCGACA
rnacentral:rRNA from 1 species